GUGGGUUUAGCUCAGUGGUAGAGCACGUGCUUAGCAUGCAUGAGGUCCUGGGUUUGAUCCCCAGUACCGACA
rnacentral:tRNA from 1 species